rnacentral:rRNA from 1 species
GACGAACGCUGGCGGCGUGCCUAAUACAUGCAAGUCGAACGAGAGCGACCGGUGCUUGCACUGGUCAAUCUAGUGGCGAACGGGUGAGUAACACGUGGGUAACCUGCUCAUCAGAGGGGGAUAACAUCCGGAAACGGAUGCUAAAACCGCAUAGGUCUUCGAGCCGCAUGGCUUGAAGAGGAAAAGAGGCGCAAGCUUCUGCUGAUGGAUGGACCCGCGGUGCAUUAGCUAGUUGGUGAGGUAACGGCUCACCAAGGCCGUGAUGCAUAGCCGGCCUGAGAGGGUGAUCGGCCACAUUGGGACUGAGACACGGCCCAAACUCCUACGGGAGGCAGCAGUAGGGAAUCUUCCGCAAUGGACGCAAGUCUGACGGAGCAACGCCGCGUGAGUGAAGAAGGUGUUCGGAUCGUAAAACUCUGUUGUUAGAGAAGAACAAGUGCUAGAGUAACUGUUAGCGCCUUGACGGUAUCUAACCAGAAAGCCACGGCUAACUACGUG